AUGCUUACAGUCCAGAUGGGCAUUAGCUUUGAAGGGGCUAAAGGUUGCCAAGCAUU
rnacentral:tRNA from 1 species